CUCGAACCAGUAAGAAAGUGGAAUUCAGUGUUUAUCAAACAUUCCCUUCAAAGCCAGUCCAAGGUCUGAGAUAAUGAAAGAGGGAAGCACCCAGGUGAUGAAAAAUGACCACCUCACAGAUAGAUUCCACAGGUAUUCUCACAUCCACCACCUCCUUCCAGAGUCAUUGUUUUUAUUACCAGAGCACCUAGCAGCCCUAGAGAGAUGGGCCCUCCCCAAAAGCUUCUAACCCAACUAUAAAAUGAGACCCAAGCGAAGGAUUUAGACAGACGAGGGGCACAAGGGAACAAUGAGACAAUACGGGCCAGCAUGAUCAGCAGUAGUGUCCGUCAAUGUUUGUGUCGGUCUCGUGGCCAAGGAGAGGUUGAGGAGAAUUUUGAAGGUGGAUAAUGAAAUAGCUUUGAGGGGUUACAGGGAGCUCCUGCCAAGCAUGAGGGGCAAUGCUGGAGAAAGCGUGUGUGGACAAUGGAGGCUGACCUCACGGCCAAUGGGAGAUGGAGGUCGACAUCCUGAUAGUGAAUGAGAGGAGAAAGAGAGGGAGGAGAUAGGCCAGGAAGGCAAGUGAAGACAAGUAGCUUGUGUUUGAUAGGCUAGAGAAUGAGGAGCCAGUGGAGGGAUGCAGAAUCACUAACAUGUUUUGAACAGGGUGCAGAAUAUACAAUUGUCAUCUGGGAAUUGGAACCUGCACCAAGAACAAAGAUGGCCAGCGCACCUUACUGUGGAUUUUUGAAAUGCCAUUUUAAUACAGAAACAGACCAGGAGGUGUUCUUAUUUUAAUAUACAUUUAUGUUCAUAAAAAAGGAUAGUUUAAGAAAUGACUGUCUGAUAAAAUGUAAAUAGUAUUUUGUCUAAUCAACAAAAUUGUCUCUUGCUGCACUCCAAGUUUGUUCACCCACAUGCCAGGUGAUGCCCUCAAUAAAUCAAGUGAUACCACGUGCAUCCACUGAGAUGGUGAAUCUACGAUUCUAUAGUUAAUGACCCAAAAGUCCAUACUCCUAGAGCCACCAGAAUAGCUUUUGUCCAUCAACAUAAUGCCUCCAAACACCAAGGGGCAAUUGAAAGUGUUAACAGGACAAACCCUUGUGACAGGUUCAAACGCCUUUAAACGUGCGACAAUUCCACGGCAGAGUCAAUAAUCUGACACUCUGCAGGGGUGAUCAGUGAAAGGAGUUAAUGCCUCAAUACUUCAGUGACGGAUGGAAGCGGCAAGCAGAGGCUUCUUAGAAAGGCUGUGCCAUGUGGCUGAAGGCCGUAGAGGAGGUAUAUAUAAAGACACAAUCUGCACAGAAAGAAACCAACUGAAAACCUCCCUACGGCAAAGCCAUUCCUUGCCCUUGGCUUCUCCUGCCAUUCCAUGCUCAUUAAAAGCUCAGCUAUGCAUACUUUCCCUCCUAGGGUGAGGUGCACAUUCCUAAUCAGCACAUCCUGCACAGACACCAACUAGCAGCCAUCUCCCAGGACUUGGGGUGAAAGGAAUUGUCUGCAUGACUCCACCUUCUCAAACCAAGACAUUUGCACCACUUUCUGGGUAGUCAGGAGCUAGAUUAAAGAGAUGGGGUUUACCAUCCAGCCUACCCACCAAGUGUCUAGUGGCCAGGGGUGGCUCUACGUAUUGUGCCACCCCAAGCACGGCAGGCAGGCUUCCUUCGGCGGCUUGCCUGCGGGAGGUCCCCGGUCCUGUGGAUUCAGCAGCACGCCUGCGGGAGGUCCCCGAUCCCACGGAUUCAGCAGCAAGCCUGCGGGAGGUCCUCUGGUUCCGCGGCUUCAGCAGCACGCCUGCGGGAGGUCCCCGGUCCCACGGAUUCAGCGGCUUGCCUGCGGGAGCUCCCCGGUCCCGGGGAUUCAGCGGCUUGCCUGCGGGAGGUCCCCGGUCCCGCGGAUUCAGCGGCUUGCCUGCGGGAGGUCCCCGGUCCCGCGGAUUCAGCGGCUUGCCUGCGGGAGGUCCCCGGUCCCGCGGAUUCAGCGGCUUGCCUGCGGGAGGUCCCCGGUCCCGCGGAUUCAGCGGCUUGCCUGCGGGAGGUCCCCGGUCCCAUGGAUUCAGCAGCACGCCUGCGGGAGGUCCCCGGUCCCAAGGAUUCAGCAGCUUGCCUGCGGGAGGUCCCCGGUCCCAAGGAUUCAGCAGCUUGCCUGCGGGAGGUCCCCGGUCCCACGGAUUCAGCGGCUUGCCUGCGGGAGGUCCCCGGUCCCGUGGAUUCAGCAGCUUGCCUGCGGGAGGUCCCCGGUCCCGUGGAUUCAGCAGCAUGCCUGCGGGAGGUCCCUGGUCCCGCAGAUUCAGUGGCUUGCUUGUGGGAGGUUCCCAGUCCCACGGAUUCAGCAGCACGCCUGUGGGAGGUCCCUGAUC